GACGAACGCUGGCGGCGUGCUUAACACAUGCAAGUCGAACGGAAAGGCCCUGCUUGCAGGGUACUCGAGUGGCGAACGGGUGAGUAACACGGGGGUGAUCUGCCCUGCACUUCGGGAUAAGCCGGGGAAACUGGGUCUAAUACCGGAUAGGAGCCAUUUUUAGGGUGAUGGUUGGAAAGUUUUUUCGGUGUAGGAUGAGCUCGCGGCCUAUCAGCUUGUUGGUGGGGUAAUGGCCUACCAAGGCGGCGACGGGUAGCCGGCCUGAGAGGGUGGACGGCCACAUUGGGACUGAGAUACGGCCCAGACUCCUACGGGAGGCAGCAGUGGGGAAUAUUGCACAAUGGGCGCAAGCCUGAUGCAGCGACGCCGCGUGGGGGAUGACGGCCUUCGGGUUGUAAACUCCUUUCGCUAGGGACGAAGCUUUUUGUGACGGUACCUAGAUAAGAAGCACCGGCUAACUACGUG
rnacentral:rRNA from 1 species